GCGGGUGUAGUUUAGUGGUAAAACUACAGCCUUCCAAGCUGUUGUCGCGAGUUCGAUUCUCGUCACCCGC
rnacentral:tRNA from 1 species